GAUGAACGCUGGCGGCGUGCCUAAUACAUGCAAGUCGAGCGGAAAGACGAGGCGCUUGCUCCGCUGACGUGAGGGGCGGACGGGUGAGUCACACGUGUAUAACCUACCUAUAAGACUGAGAUCACUACGGGAAAGCGGAGAUAAUACCGGAUAAUAUCUUGAACCGCGUGGUUCAAUAGUGAAAGACGGUUUUGCUGUCACUAAUAGAUGGUUCCGCGCUGCUUUAGCUAGUUGGUAGGGUAACGGCCUACCAAGGCUACGAUGCGUUGCCGACCGGAGAGGGUGAUCGGCCACACUGGAACUUGGACACGGUCCAGGCUCCUGCGGGAGGCCGCAGUAGGGAAUCUUCCGCAAUGGGCGGAGGCCUUGCGCAGCGACGCCGCGUGAGUUGUGGAAGUCCUCCGAUCGGAAAACCCUGUUAUGAGGGGAGAACAAAUGUGUAAGUAACUAUGCACUUCUUGACGGUACCUAAUCAGAAAGCCACGGCUAACUACGUG
rnacentral:rRNA from 1 species